CGGCUCUGGGUCUGUGGGGGAC
rnacentral:miRNA from 1 species